rnacentral:rRNA from 1 species
UGGGGAAUUUUGGACAAUGGGCGCAAGCCUGAUCCAGCCAUGCCGCGUGCGGGAAGAAGGCCUUCGGGUUGUAAACCGCUUUUGUCAGGGAAGAAAUCCUUUGAGCUAAUACCUCGGGGGGGUGACGGUACCUGAAGAAUAAGCACCGGCUAACUACGUGCCAGCAGCCGCGGUAAGACGUAGGGUGCGAGCGGUAAUCGGAAUUACUGGGCGGAAAGCGUGCGCCGGCGGUUAUGUAAGACAGAUGUGAAAUCCCCGGGCUCAACCUGGGAACUGCCUUUGUGACUGCAUAGCUAGAGUACGGUAGCGGGGGAUGGAAUUCCGCGUGUAGCAGUGAAAUGCGUAGAUAUGCGGAGGAACACCGAUGGCGAAGGCAAUCCCCUGGACCUGUACUGACGCUCAUGCACGAAAGCGUGGGGAGCAAACA